UCCGGUUUGUCACCGGCAGUCUCCUUAGAGUGCCCUUGCGUAGCAACUAAGGACAAGGGUUGCGCUCGUUGCGGGACUUAACCCAACAUCUCACGACACGAGCUGACGACAGCCAUGCAGCACCUGUGUUACGGCUCCCUUUCGGGCACACCCCCAUCUCUGAGGGCUUCCGUACAUGUCAAGGGUAGGUAAGGUGGGGAUGACGUUUUCGGAUUCUAAG
rnacentral:misc_RNA from 1 species